GCGAAAGCCAGGCCCUCAUAUUUUGUUGGUAAUGAUCUCUUCCGUAGGGGUGACCUGCGGAGGGAUCAUUACACAACAAAAUAUGAAGGCCUGGCUUUCGCGGCCGGCUGAAGUAUUUUUUUCACCCAUGUCUUUUGCGCACUUGUUGUUUCCUGGGCGGGUUCGCCCGCCACCAGGACCAAACCAUAAACCUUUUUUUCUUAUGCAGUUUCCAUCAGCGUCAGUAAAAACAAUGUAAUUAUUACAACUUUCAACAACGGAUCUCUUGGUUCUGGCAUCGAUGAAGAACGCAGCGAAAUGCGAUACGUAGUGUGAAUUGCAGAAUUCAGUGAAUCAUCGAAUCUUUGAACGCACAUUGCGCCCUUUGGUAUUCCAAAGGGCAUGCCUGUUCGAGCGUCAUUUGUACCUUCAAGCUUUGCUUGGUGUUGGGCGUUUUUUUGUCUCCCUCUUUCUGGGAGACUCGCCUUAAAACGAUUGGCAGCCGGCCUACUGGUUUCGGAGCGCAGCACAUUUUUUGCGCUUUGUAUCAGGAGAAAAGGACGGUACUCCAUCAAGACUCUACAUUUUUCACUUUUGACCUCGGA
rnacentral:rRNA from 1 species